AUGUUCAGGGCUUUGCCCCACCAGACCCAGCUCCUCCAGGCUGCUUGGCAGGGAGACCUCCACUCCCUGCAGCACCUUCUGGCCCAGACUGACCUAGUAGACGUGAACACUCAGAACCGCGACGGGCUGACCCCUCUAAUGCUGGCUGUGAGGGACGUCGACUUGUUUGAGGAGCUGGACGUCCGGUUGCCAUGGGAAUACAGACCUGUGGAGGUGGUCAGGGAACUGCUGGCUCUCUCAGCUGACCUGGGGGUGUGUGAUGUCAACGGCUGUUCUGCUCUUCACUAUGCUGGACAGAUAGAGAGCCCCCUGAAAGACGAACUCAUCCACAUGAUGGUUGAGUCCCUCAGACAGCCAGCGCCCACGCCCCUGGACCUGCAGUGCUUCCACCCUGAUGAGCUGAGAGUAAACUCCCCCAGCCCCUCUCCCUCUCUAACCGAUGAGCUGAGAGCAGCAAACUCCCCAAGCUCCUCUCUCUAUCUGACCCAAAAUGUCCUCAUUCAGACUGCUGCCAGCACAGAGGAUUUGCUGGAGGCUCCAGAGUGCGUUCCUUUAUCCGACCAUCAUAAAGCCAUCAAUCAAGAUAAGGGGCUCUCCCUCUCCUUCCAGAGCGCAAUGGAUACCCUGAUGGACAUGAGGCAAGCCUACCAAGAUCUGGGGAAGGGUAGCAGUCAAGGUUCAUCUCUACCCAGUCUGUGGUUCAGAGCCAGACACUUACACAAACUGGAUCCUACACCAGGGCUAUUGAAGACCACAGGAAGCUCAUCCUGCCUGCCUGUUCCCCCCAGGCUCAGAUGUGAGGCUGUGGCCCCCAGCCCGGUGGCCCCUCACCCAGCCCAGCUGAGCCAAUCUGCCCCCGGUCUAUUGGAGCCUCUCCUGGACUCUCUGGUCCAGGCCCGAGUUCACAUCCAGAACAGGCUUGGAUGUGGUGAAACGGAGAAAAAAAGCAGUGGUCGAAAGGUAGGUCAACGCAAAUAAAUCGUGUUUUAUUCGUACAUCACAUUUUCAUACAGCUUCCUUAGUUUGUAAAAACCACCUGUAAUCUGCUAUUUAUUCACCGUUGCCUUUUCCAAUCAUCUCUGUCCAGGGCUCCUUCCCUACCCUACUUCCAGGCCCCAUCAGGACCCCCAAGCUGUUAGCCCCUCUGGAGGGGAGGAAUAGAAACGGAGGAGUGCUGCCCGGCCUGAAGCACCCUUCUCCCCUAAAGC
rnacentral:lncRNA from 1 species